rnacentral:rRNA from 1 species
UAGAUUAAGUUAUUAAGGGCGCACGGUGGAUGCCUUGGCACUAGAAGCCGAUGAAGGACGUUACUAACGACGAUAUGCUUUGGGGAGCUGUAAGUAAGCUUUGAUCCAGAGAUUUCCGAAUGGGGAAACCCAGCAUGAGUUAUGUCAUGUUAUCGAUAUGUGAAUACAUAGCAUAUCAGAAGGCACACCCGGAGAACUGAAACAUCUUAGUACCCGGAGGAAGAGAAAGAAAAUUCGAUUCCCUUAGUAGCGGCGAGCGAAACGGGAAGAGCCCAAACCAACAAGCUUGCUUGUUGGGGUUGUAGGACACUCUAUACGGAGUUACAAAGGACGACAUUAGACGAAUCAUCUGGAAAGAUGAAUCAAAGAAGGUAAUAAUCCUGUAGUCGAAAAUGUUGUCUCUCUUGAGUGGAUCCUGAGUACGACGGAGCACGUGAAAUUCCGUCGGAAUCUGGGAGGACCAUCUCCUAAGGCUAAAUACUCUCUAGUGACCGAUAGUGAACCAGUACCGUGAGGGAAAGGUGAAAAGCACCCCGGAAGGGGAGUGAAAUAGAACCUGAAACCGUGUGCUUACAAGUAGUCAGAGCCCGUUAAUGGGUGAUGGCGUGCCUUUUGUAGAAUGAACCGGCGAGUUACGAUUUGAUGCAAGGUUAAGCAGUAAAUGUGGAGCCGUAGCGAAAGCGAGUCUGAAUAGGGCGUUUAGUAUUUGGUCGUAGACCCGAAACCAGGUGAUCUACCCUUGGUCAGGUUGAAGUUCAGGUAACACUGAAUGGAGGACCGAACCGACUUACGUUGAAAAGUGAGCGGAUGAACUGAGGGUAGCGGAGAAAUUCCAAUCGAACCUGGAGAUAGCUGGUUCUCUCCGAAAUAGCUUUAGGGCUAGCCUCAAGUGAUGAUUAUUGGAGGUAGAGCACUGUUUGGACGAGGGGCCCCUCUCGGGUUACCGAAUUCAGACAAACUCCGAAUGCCAAUUAAUUUAACUUGGGAGUCAGAACAUGGGUGAUAAGGUCCGUGUUCGAAAGGGAAACAGCCCAGACCACCAGCUAAGGUCCCAAAAUAUAUGUUAAGUGGAAAAGGAUGUGGCGUUGCCCAGACAACUAGGAUGUUGGCUUAGAAGCAGCCAUCAUUUAAAGAGUGCGUAAUAGCUCACUAGUCGAGUGACACUGCGCCGAAAAUGUACCGGGGCUAAACAUAUUACCGAAGCUGUGGAUUGUCCUUUGGACAAUGGUAGGAGAGCGUUCUAAGGGCGUUGAAGCAUGAUCGUAAGGACAUGUGGAGCGCUUAGAAGUGAGAAUGCCGGUGUGAGUAGCGAAAGACGGGUGAGAAUCCCGUCCACCGAUUGACUAAGGUUUCCAGAGGAAGGCUCGUCCGCUCUGGGUUAGUCGGGUCCUAAGCUGAGGCCGACAGGCGUAGGCGAUGGAUAACAGGUUGAUAUUCCUGUACCACCUAUAAUCGUUUUAAUCGAUGGGGGGACGCAGUAGGAUAGGCGAAGCGUGCGAUUGGAUUGCACGUCUAAGCAGUAAGGCUGAGUAUUAGGCAAAUCCGGUACUCGUUAAGGCUGAGCUGUGAUGGGGAGAAGACAUUGUGUCUUCGAGUCGUUGAUUUCACACUGCCGAGAAAAGCCUCUAGAUAGAAAAUAGGUGCCCGUACCGCAAACCGACACAGGUAGUCAAGAUGAGAAUUCUAAGGUGAGCGAGCGAACUCUCGUUAAGGAACUCGGCAAAAUGACCCCGUAACUUCGGGAGAAGGGGUGCUCUUUAGGGUUAACGCCCAGAAGAGCCGCAGUGAAUAGGCCCAAGCGACUGUUUAUCAAAAACACAGGUCUCUGCUAAACCGUAAGGUGAUGUAUAGGGGCUGACGCCUGCCCGGUGCUGGAAGGUUAAGAGGAGUGGUUAGCUUCUGCGAAGCUACGAAUCGAAGCCCCAGUAAACGGCGGCCGUAACUAUAACGGUCCUAAGGUAGCGAAAUUCCUUGUCGGGUAAGUUCCGACCCGCACGAAAGGCGUAACGAUUUGGGCACUGUCUCAACGAGAGACUCGGUGAAAUCAUAGUACCUGUGAAGAUGCAGGUUACCCGCGACAGGACGGAAAGACCCCGUGGAGCUUUACUGUAGCCUGAUAUUGAAAUUCGGCACAGCUUGUACAGGAUAGGUAGGAGCCUUUGAAACGUGAGCGCUAGCUUACGUGGAGGCGCUGGUGGGAUACUACCCUAGCUGUGUUGGCUUUCUAACCCGCACCACUUAUCGUGGUGGGAGACAGUGUCAGGCGGGCAGUUUGACUGGGGCGGUCGCCUCCUAAAAGGUAACGGAGGCGCUCAAAGGUUCCCUCAGAAUGGUUGGAAAUCAUUCAUAGAGUGUAAAGGCAUAAGGGAGCUUGACUGCGAGACCUACAAGUCGAGCAGGGUCGAAAGACGGACUUAGUGAUCCGGUGGUUCCGCAUGGAAGGGCCAUCGCUCAACGGAUAAAAGCUACCCCGGGGAUAACAGGCUUAUCUCCCCCAAGAGUUCACAUCGACGGGGAGGUUUGGCACCUCGAUGUCGGCUCAUCGCAUCCUGGGGCUGUAGUCGGUCCCAAGGGUUGGGCUGUUCGCCCAUUAAAGCGGUACGCGAGCUGGGUUCAGAACGUCGUGAGACAGUUCGGUCCCUAUCCGUCGUGGGUGUAGGAAAUUUGAGAGGAGCUGUCCUUAGUACGAGAGGACCGGGAUGGACAUACCUCUGGUGUACCAGUUGUCGUGCCAACGGCAUAGCUGGGUAGCUAUGUGUGGACGGGAUAAGUGCUGAAAGCAUCUAAGCAUGAAGCCCCCCUCAAGAUGAGAUUUCCCAACUUCGGUUAUAAGAUCCCUCAAAGAUGAUGAGGUUAAUAGGUUCGAGGUGGAAGCAUGGUGACAUGUGGAGCUGACGAAUACUAAUCGAUCGAAGACUUAAUCAA